GUUUGCCGCAGCAGCACAUAUACUAAAAUUGGAAUGAUAGGGAAGAUUAGCAUGGCCCCCGCACAAGGAUGACAUGCAAACUCAUGAAGCAUUCCAUAUUUUU